rnacentral:tRNA from 1 species
GGGGAUUUAGCUCAGUGGUAAGAGCGCUUGCCUAGGAAACGCAAGGCCCUGGGUUCGGUCCCCAGCUCCG